GUUAGAUGCGAUGGGGGGACGGAUCGCGGAAGGUUGUCCGGGUGUUGGACGUCCCGGUCGCUGCAUUGGAGAAGGCGCUUAGGCAAAUCCGGGCGCAGGAUUCAAGGGUGUGGCGCGAGCGACUUCGGUCGCGAAGCAAUUGGAAGUGGUUCCAAGAAAAGCCUCUAAGCUUCAGUCUAACGAUGACCGUACCGCAAACCGACACAGGUGGGCGAGAUGAGUAUUCUAAGGCGCUUGAGAGAACUCGGGAGAAGGAACUCGGCAAAUUGGUACCGUAACUUCGGGAUAAGGUACGCCCUUGUAGCUUGACUGGCCUGCGCCAGAAGGGUGAAGGGGUUGCAAUAAACUGGUGGCUGCGACUGUUUAAUAAAAACACAGCACUCUGCAAACACGAAAGUGGACGUAUAGGGUGUGACGCCUGCCCGGUGCCGGAAGAUUAAAUGAUGGGGUGCAAGCUCUUGAUUGAAGUCCCGGUAAACGGCGGCCGUAACUAUAACGGUCCUAAGGUAGCGAAAUUCCUUGUCGGGUAAGUUCCGACCUGCACGAAUGGCGUAACGAUGGCCACACUGUCUCCUCCCGAGACUCAGCGAAGUUGAAGUGUUUGUGAUGAUGCAAUCUACCCGCGGCUAGACGGAAAGACCCCAUGAACCUUUACUGUAGCUUUGCAUUGGACUUUGAACCGAUCUGUGUAGGAUAGGUGGGAGGCUAUGAAACCGGAACGCUAGUUUCGGUGGAGCCGUCCUUGAAAUACCACCCUGGUUUGUUUGAGGUUCUAACCUUGGUCCGUGAUCCGGAUCGGGGACAGUGCAUGGUAGGCAGUUUGACUGGGGCGGUCUCCUCCCAAAGGGUAACGGAGGAGUACGAAGGUACGCUAGGUACGGUCGGAAAUCGUGCUGAUAGUGCAAUGGCAUAAGCGUGCUUAACUGCGAGACCGACAAGUCGAGCAGGUGCGAAAGCAGGUCAUAGUGAUCCGGUGGUUCUGUAUGGAAGGGCCAUCGCUCAACGGAUAAAAGGUACUCUGGGGAUAACAGGCUGAUACCGCCCAAGAGUUCAUAUCGACGGCGGUGUUUGGCACCUCGAUGUCGGCUCAUCUCAUCCUGGGGCUGUAGCCGGUCCCAAGGGUAUGGCUGUUCGCCAUUUAAAGAGGUACGUGAGCUGGGUUUAAAACGUCGUGAGACAGUUUGGUCCCUAUCUGCCGUGGGCGUUGGAUAUUUGAAGGGGGCUGCUCCUAGUACGAGAGGACCGGAGUGGACGAACCUCUGGUGUACCGGUUGUGACGCCAGUCGCAUCGCCGGGUAGCUAUGUUCGGAAGAGAUAACCGCUGAAAGCAUCUAAGCGGGAAACUCGCCUUAAGAUGAGAUAUCCCUGGAGGCUUGACCUCCUUGAAGGGUCGUUCGAGACCAGGACGUUGAUAGGUCGGGUGUGUAAGCGCAGUAAUGCGUUCAGCUAACCGAUACUAAUUGCCCGUAAGGCUUGAUCCU
rnacentral:rRNA from 1 species